GACGAACGCUGGCGGCGUGCUUAACACAUGCAAGUCGAACGGAAAGGCCUGCUUUCCCUUGUGGAUUGCGGGUCCUCGGGUGGCGAACGGGUGCGUAACACGUGAGUGUUCUGCCCCCAACUUGGGUAUAAGCCUGGGAAACUGGGUCUAAUUCUCGAUAGGACUGCAGGGUGGAGUCUGUAGUGGCAGACGUUCUUCUAGUGGUUGGGGAUGAGCUCGCGCCGUAUCAGCUUGUUGGUGGGGUAACGGCCUACCAAGGCGACGAUGCGUAGCCGAACUGAGAGGGUGAUCGGCCACAGUGGAACUGAGAAACGGUCAAGACUCCUACGGGAGGCAGCAGUAGGGAAUCUUCCGCAAUGGGCGAAAGCCUGACGGAGCAACGCCGCGUGAGUGAUGAAGGUCUUCGGAUCGUAAAACUCUGUUAUUAGGGAAGAACAAAUGUGUAAGUAACUAUGCACGUCUUGACGGUACCUAAUCAGAAAGCCACGGCGAACUACGUG
rnacentral:rRNA from 1 species